AAUCAAAAGGUAGCCAGGUGCAUCGGGGAAAGCACUGACAUUGGAGUCAGACAGACUGAAGUUCAUAUCUGAUUCUGCUAUAUGACAACGUGUGGGCUAUGUGGCUAACUUCUCAGAGCUUCAGUUUUCUCAAGGGCAAAAUGAAAAUAAUAGAAAUAAUAGAAUCCACCUCACAGGGCUGUGGUGAGAAUUGGAGAUGAAGCACAUACAGCAUAUUACAUCAACUAAACACAUGCUAAAAAUUAAAGGGGAUGAAAGAUACAUUGGUCCCUGCAGUGGGAAGUUUCCUUGACAAUGCAAUUAUUGAUUCCAGUGAAGGAGCAGCUUUGGCUUACUAUUCAAGCUCGAGGUCAGGGCUUGAAAACUUGAAAAAUGGAAAAAGGAUUAAGAGAACCUUAUAUUCCUGAAUAGCAAAGGAAGAAGCAACAAUUCUUCUGAAAUCUCAUAGUCGAAAGCUAAAGACAGGGGCCUAGGUCAAGCUCAAAGUCACUUACAGGACGUGAAAAUCACCUCGGAUUUAAUCUAGGCUUAGCAGCUACAGGAAAAGAACUGAAGAAAGGCCUUGUUUUAUGUUUUCUGACAGUAAAAUGAAAUAAAACGUGGAAUAUUAUAGAAAGGAUUUUGUAAGUGAAAGGGAGUGGUUGAGAAGAGGCAAAGUGAGUGUUGGAAAGGAUAUUGAAACUUGAAGAAGGCUGGAAGAAGAGGUCAAGGGAAUCCUAUGACUGAAAGCAGCAUCAGAGACACAAACAUACUGAUCUUGGAGCCCUGCAAAUACAUCUCUUUAUAUUGAACAUUUUGAGUCUUUUUCUAUUCCUAGGUGUGUUUACUAAAUUAUACAAGUCUGCUAAUACCAAUUAUCCUAUAAAUGCCCUUCUUAAUUCUUAAAAU
ensembl:lncRNA ZRANB2-DT ZRANB2 divergent transcript